GAUGAACGCUGGCGGCGUGCCUAAUACAUGCAAGUCGAGCGAACAGACGAGGAGCUUGCUCCUCUGACGUUAGCGGCGGAAGUGUGAGUAACACGUGGAUAACCUACCUAUAAGACUGGGAUAGAUUCGGGAAACCGGAGCUAAUACCGGAUAAUAUAUUGAACCGCAUGGUUCAAUAGUGAAAGACGGUUUUGCUGUCACUUAUAGAUGGAUCCGCGCCGCAUUAGCUAGUUGGUAAGGUAACGGCUUACCAAGGCGACGAUGCGUAGCCGACCUGAGAGGGUGAUCGGCCACACUGGAACUGAGACACGGCCCAGACUCCUACGGGAGGCAGCAGUAGGGAAUUUUCGGCAAUGGGCGAAAGCCUGACGCAGCAACGCCGCGUGAGUGAUGAAGGCCUUCGGAUCGUAAACUUCUGUUAUAAGGGAAGAACAAAUGUGUAAUUAAAUAUAGACGUCUUGACGGUACCGUAACAGAAAGCAACGGCUAACUACGUG
rnacentral:rRNA from 1 species